rnacentral:rRNA from 1 species
UACAGAGGUGGCAAGCGUUGUUCGGAAUUACUGGGCGUAAAGGGCGCGUAGGCGGUUCGUUAAGUCCUGUGUGAAAUCCCUCGGCUUAACCGGGGAACUGCGUCUGAUACUGGAUGGCUUGAGUUCGGGAGAGGGAUGCGGAAUUCCAGGUGUAGCGGUGAAAUGCGUAGAUAUCUGGAGGAACACCGGUGGCGAAGGCGGGUCUCUGGGCAGUAACUGACGCUGAGGAGCGAAAGCGUGGGGAGCGAACAGG